rnacentral:lncRNA from 1 species
AUUAGGACAAAAGUUUGGAACAAAAAGAAAUCUCAGGCUCAUUGCAAAGCUUUUUUAACGUUUUCAAUUCCCUCCAUGUUCUGAGCAUUAUCAUAACGUACUGAACUGUUCUGUUCAGAGACCACUAGGGAGAGGAGAUGAGGAACCAGAGCAGCCAGGAUGUUUCUCCCUGGGAUAAAAUCUCAAGCAUUCAGACACCCUCACUGUGGGCUCCACUUCUGUAGCUAGAGGGGACUGGAAACAGCAGGAGCAUCUCACAGCUUGUAGGAAGCACACACCUUUUCCCCAAAUGUUUCUUUUUGCAGUUGGUCCUUGCUGGCUGAUCCAGCUUCCCCGUCAGCAUAUGGUGAGCAGUUCGGUGAGAGGACCACACUUCCAAUACUGGCAGUCCAGAUUCCUAAGAUGAGGACACAGCAUCCUGGGCCACUGUCACUAAUACAAAUUUGCCUCUGGAGGGACUCUACGGAAGAUAAUUCCCCUGAAAUUUGGAGAGUUGAAUUAAGCUAGGACUGAUUCUGGCUGGAAUUUGUGGUGGCUACGUACCCUAGAGGGCCUCAAGGAAACCCACGGUUCAAGACAACCCUGACAGAUUCUGGAGUCUAGAACAGAAAUGGAUUUGAACAUGGGCAAGGCCAACCACCCAGUUCACGGCCUGUGUACAGCAAAGAUUACAUUACAGCCUGAGAGCUAAGCCUGGAAGCUCUUUCAUCCAUCCGUUUGUCCAUCUAUCCAUCCAUCUGCUCAUCCAUCCCUCCAUCUGCUCAACAAAUGUUAGAGAAUCAAUCCUUGUGUCAGAUACUGGGGCUGCCCUCAAGGAGCUUUUGUAGAGUUCAGGGUACAGCCAGGUGGGGGAGACAGAUCACUAUAAAAACCUACCACUAUAAUCCAAAGGACAAGAGCAAAAAUAGUAAAGAGGAGAGAAGACCCAAAUUUGCCUGGUGGGUCAGAGACGGCUUUCUAGAAGAGGUAAAAAAUCUUCGGGGCUAUCACUUCACCUUGCCUGGUGGAUAAAGGGAGGACUUUCCAGAUACAGUGGACAGAAUGUGCAGAGGCAGGAGCCAUGAGUGGCAGAGGCAGGGGAGGGACUGCAGAGACAGGUUGGAGCCAAAGCACGAUGGCACUGGAGCCAUAGCCAAAGGAACAAACUGUGAGACCUGGGACUUGAAUUUGGAGGUGGUGAAAAGUGACAAGGUCUUCACAGAAGAGUGAUUUUUUCAACUUAGGGAAGGCUGACCCCAGACCAAUGCUGCCAAAGUGUGGUCUGUGGGCUGUUAGCAGUUCAUGACGAUGUAAGUACAGGAAUUGAGAGUAAGCAUUUAGAACACCUACAGCACUGUGAUAGUCAUUUUACUUUUUAAAUUUUG